rnacentral:rRNA from 1 species
UGGGGAAUUUUGGACAAUGGGGGAAACCCUGAUCCAGCCAUCCCGCGUGUGCGAUGAAGGCCUUCGGGUUGUAAAGCACUUUUGGCAGGAAAGAAACGUCGCGGGUUAAUACCCCGCGAAACUGACGGUACCUGCAGAAUAAGCACCGGCUAACUACGUGCCAGCAGCCGCGGUAAUACGUAGGGUGCAAGCGUUAAUCGGAAUUACUGGGCGUAAAGCGUGCGCAGGCGGUUCGGAAAGAAAGAUGUGAAAUCCCAGAGCUUAACUUUGGAACUGCAUUUUUAACUACCGGGCUAGAGUGUGUCAGAGGGAGGUGGAAUUCCGCGUGUAGCAGUGAAAUGCGUAGAUAUGCGGAGGAACACCGAUGGCGAAGGCAGCCUCCUGGGAUAACACUGACGCUCAUGCACGAAAGCGUGGGGAGCAAACAGGAUUAGAUACCCUGGUAGUCCACGCCCUAAACGAUGUCAACUAGCUGUUGGGGCCUUCGGGCCUUGGUAGCGCAGCUAACGCGUGAAGUUGACCGCCUGGGGAGUACGGUCGCAAGAUUAAAACUUAAAUGAAUUGACGGGGGUCAUAGCUG